UACGUAGGUGGCGAGCGUUGUCCGGAAUUACUGGGUGUAAAGGGCGUGCAGGCGGGGAUAUAAGUCAGAUGUGAAAUACCACGGCUCAACUGUGGCAUUGCAUCUGAAACUAUAUUUCUUGAGUACUGGAGAGGGAAGCGGAAUUCCUAGUGUAGCGGUGAAAUGCGUAGAUAUUAGGAGGAACACCAGUGGCGAAGGCGGCUUUCUGGACAGUAACUGACGCUGAGGCGCGAAAGCGUGGGGAG
rnacentral:rRNA from 1 species